AUACGUAGGGAGCGAGCGUUGUCCGGAAUUACUGGGUGUAAAGGGAGCGUAGGCGGGAGUGCAAGGCAGAUGUGAAAUACAUGGGCUCAACCCAUGGGCUGCAUUUGAAACUGCAUUUCUUGAGUGAAGUAGAGGUAAGCGGAAUUCCUGGUGUAGCGGUGAAAUGCGUAGAUAUCAGGAGGAACACCGGUGGCGAAGGCGGCUUACUGGGCUUUUACUGACGCUGAGGCUCGAAAGCGUGGGGAGCAAACAGGAUUAGAUACCCUGGUAGUCCACGCUGUAAACGAUGAUUACUAGGUGUGGGGGGACUGACCCCUUCCGUGCCGCAGUUAACACAAUAAGUAAUCCACCUGGGGAGUACGGCCGCAAGGUUGAAACUUAAAGGAAUUGACGGGG
rnacentral:rRNA from 1 species